rnacentral:rRNA from 1 species
UACGUAGGGGGCGAGCGUUGUCCGGAAUUAUUGGGCGUAAAGAGCGUGUAGGCGGUUCGGUAAGUCUGCCGUGAAAACCUGGGGCUCAACCCCGGGCGUGCGGUGGAUACUGCCGGGCUAGAGGAUGGUAGAGGCGAGUGGAAUUCCUGGUGUAGCGGUGAAAUGCGCAGAUAUCAGGAGGAACACCAAUUGCGAAGGCAGCUCGCUGGGACGUUACUGACGCUGAGACGCGAAAGCGUGGGGAGCAAACAGGAUUAGAAACCCUGGUAGU